rnacentral:rRNA from 1 species
GUCGAACGGCAGCGCGGGAGCAAUCCUGGCGGCGAGUGGCGAACGGGCGAGUAAUACAUCGGAACGUGCCCAAUCGUGGGGGAUAACGCAGCGAAAGCUGUGCUAAUACCGCAUACGAUCUACGGAUGAAAGCAGGGGACCGCAAGGCCUUGCGCGACUGGAGCGGCCGAUGGCAGAUUAGGUAGUUGGUGAGGUAAAGGCUCACCAAGCCGACGAUCUGUAGCUGGUCUGAGAGGACGACCAGCCACACUGGGACUGAGACACGGCCCAGACUCCUACGGGAGGCAGCAGUGGGGAAUUUUGGACAAUGGGCGCAAGCCUGAUCCAGCCAUGCCGCGUGCAGGAUGAAGGCCUUCGGGUUGUAAACUGCUUUUGUACGGAACGAAAAGGCUCUUUCUAAUAAAGAGAGCUCAUGACGGUACCGUAAGAAUAAGCACCGGCUAACUACGUGCCAGCAGCCGCGGUAAUACGUAGGGUGCGAGCGUUAAUCGGAAUUACUGGGCGUAAAGCGUGCGCAGGCGGUGAUGUAAGACAGUUGUGAAAUCCCCGGGCUCAACCUGGGAACUGCAUCUGUGACUGCAUUGCUGGAGUGCGGCAGAGGGGGAUGGAAUUCCGCGUGUAGCAGUGAAAUGCGUAGAUAUGCGGAGGAACACCGAUGGCGAAGGCAAUCCCCUGGGCCUGCACUGACGCUCAUGCACGAAAGCGUGGGGAGCAAACAGGAUUAGAUACCCU